GUGGGGAAUCUUGCGCAAUGGCCGAAAGGCUGACGCAGCGACGCCGCGUGGAGGAUGACGCCCUUCGGGGUGUAAACUCCUGUUGCCCGGGACGAAUGCCUGUUUCGACAGGAGUGACGGUACCGGGUGAGGAAGCACCGGCUAACUCUGUGCCAGCAGCCGCGGUAAUACAGAGGGUGCGAGCGUUGUCCGGAAUCACUGGGCGUAAAGGGCGCGUAGGCGGUCGGGUAAGCGUGUGGUGAAAGUCCGGGGCUCAACCCCGGAUCGGCCAUGCGAACUGUCCGACUGGAGCACGGUAGAGGCACAUGGAAUUCCGGGUGUAGCGGUGGAAUGCGUAGAGAUCCGGAAGAACACCGGUGGCGAAGGCGGUGUGCUGGGCCGUAGCUGACGCUGAGGCGCGACAGCGUGGGGAGCAAACAGGAUUAGAAACCCGGGUAGUCC
rnacentral:rRNA from 1 species